rnacentral:tRNA from 13 species
GACUCGGUGACGCAACGGUAGCGCGUCUGGCUCCCGAUCAGAAGGCUGCGUGUUCAAAUCACGUCCGGGUCA